rnacentral:lncRNA from 1 species
UUUUUUAGAAAUGCUAAACAUAGAAAUAAGUUCUUUAUCCUGAGGAAAGUAAUUAUCAUUGUGCAGGAGCACAAUGAGACAACAGCAGUUCAUCGAGGAGGAAGCAAUUAACAGAUUAGAGGUCACUGAAAUGUAGACCAAUAUAUACAGACGGGUUUCACAUUUCUUUAAGUACUGUACUCAAGGUGGACCUCUAGAUUUGCAAAUUAACUGAGAUGAGCUGAAUGAAGAAGAAGCUUUGGGAAAAAUCAUUCCAACAAAGCUCUCAAUUGCAUAUGUUUUCAAUUCUUCACAUUUCUCCACUGGGAAGUACACCAGAUCCAUGUAUGGUAGCUUGGAAGCUCAG